UGAUUGGCAGGGAGGGAGGCGGGGCUCUCUCCUGCCUGGGCUGAGCGGGUGUUGAGACCCGGGGAGGUCUCUGGAAAAACUGGCUUUGGGUCCGCUCUUCAGCUUUUUCCACUUUGUUCUGUGCCUUGGCAGUUGGACAACUUCGUCAGGCUCCCUUACCCCCUGGUUCGAGAUGGUCCUGGAUGCUCUGGUCAUCUUACCGCAAGUCUGUGGAACUUUCAGAUGACUCUUCUUCAAAUGCUUUAAUGGGCCACUUUUUGAAAGCACUAUUGACCACCUCUUUGAUGUGGAGUUUGCUGCAGGCGGAAUCAGUGGAAUGUGUGUGACCUUCACCAUCUUGUUGAAUGAUUGCCCAUCGGAAAAUACAAAAAGUGAAGGACAACUGAGCAAGGUAAAAGUUUGUUGACUCUUCAUUUCUCCUGGCCUUUAAAAUCUAAUUAUCUGUUCUUAUUCCUCUGAUGAGAUGGCAAAAACACAUUGAA